rnacentral:rRNA from 1 species
AUUGAACGCUGGCGGCAGGCCUAACACAUGCAAGUCGAGCGGUAGGGAGAAGCUUGCUUCUCUUGAGAGCGGCGGACGGGUGAGUAAUACCUAGGAAUCUGCCCGAUAGUGGGGGAUAACGUUCGGAAACGGACGCUAAUACCGCAUACGUCCUACGGGAGAAAGCAGGGGACCUUCGGGCCUUGCGCUAUCAGAUGAGCCUAGGUCGGAUUAGCUAGUUGGUGAGGUAAUGGCUCACCAAGGCUACGAUCCGUAACUGGUCUGAGAGGAUGAUCAGUCACACUGGAACUGAGACACGGUCCAGACUCCUACGGGAGGCAGCAGUGGGGAAUAUUGGACAAUGGGCGAAAGCCUGAUCCAGCCAUGCCGCGUGUGUGAAGAAGGUCUUCGGAUUGUAAAGCACUUUAAGUUGGGAGGAAGGGCAGUUACCUAAUACGUGAUUGUCUUGACGUUACCGACAGAAUAAGCACCGCA